rnacentral:pre_miRNA from 1 species
AAACCGUCCCCUAAGUUUUGCAACUUUAGCAGUUUUGGCCCUCCAAGGCCAAUUUUUGGUAAAAAGAUAAAAUAAAAAAUAACAUAUGACACCUCACUUAGGGCGUCACGUCAGCGUAGACCGAGUCAAAAUUGGCCUUGGGGGCCAAAACUGCCACAAAUGCAAAACUUAGGGGGCGGUUU